rnacentral:tRNA from 1 species
GAGGGUAGAGCUCAGAGGUAGAGCAUAUGCCAUGCUUAGCAUGCAUGAAGUCCUGGGUUCAAUCCCUAGCACCUCCA